rnacentral:rRNA from 1 species
CUACGGGAGGCAGCAGUUCAGAAUCUUGCACAAUGGGCGAAAGCCUGAUGCAGCGAUGCCGCGUGGGUGAAGAAGGCUCUCGGGUCGUAAAGCCCUGUCAGGGGGAACGAAUAAUGACGGUACCCCCUAAGGAAGCCACGGCUAAUUACGUGCCAGCAGCCGCGGUAAUACGUAAGUGGCGAGCGUUAUCCGGAAUCACUGGGCGUAAAGAGUGCGUAGGCGGUGCGGUAAGUUGGAUUUGAAAUCCCGGGGCUCAACUCCGGACCCGGAUCCAAAACGGCCGUACUAGAGCGGAUCAGAGGACAGCGGAAUUCCCGGUGUAGCGGUAAUAUGCGUAGAUAUCGGGAGGAACACCAGUGGCGUAGGCGGCUGUAUGGGGUCUUGAUGACGCUGAGGCACGAAAGCCAGGGGAGCGAACGGGAUUAGAAACCCUAGUAGUCC